rnacentral:rRNA from 1 species
UACGGGGGGGGUAAGCGUUGUUCGGAAUUACUGGGCGUAAAGGGCUCGUAGGCGGCCAACUAAGUCAUACGUGAAAUCCCUCAGCUUAACUGGGGAACUGCGUGUGAUACUGGAUGGCUUGGAUUUGGGAGAGGGAUGCGGAAUUCCAGGUGUAGCGGUGAAAUGCGUAGAUAUGUGGAGGAACACCGAUGGCGAAGGCAGCCCCCUGGGAUGUGACUGACGCUCAUGUACGAAAGCGUGGGGAGCAAACAGG